CAACCGGAACGGGUACCCCCUCAUAGCUCUACGCCCAUCACCUCUCAAUGGCAGGGUGGGUUUGCGUCGUUUGCUGGUACAGGGAACGCGAAUGGUCCGUCCCAUGCCUCAUAUGCCUCCUGCAAGGCCACAAAUGAUUCCUCAAAUGGCUCCCGAUGUGCCAACCUCACACUAGCAAGGAGGAUUUGCACCAUUUGCAGCUUUGAUAAUUUCAUUGAUAUCUACAUUGCUUCUGUAGGGUCAUUUCACCCUGAACUAAUGUCAGGGUUUAGACCUUACACUGCAUCGUAUGGCGACAUGUCCAGCUUCGGUGGAGGGUCGUCAUCGGUACCCAAUGAGCUUCGGACUUCACAAACUGAUGAUGCGCCCCAUGUGACACAGCCCACAUAA
rnacentral:lncRNA from 1 species